AUUGAACGCUGGCGGCAUGCCUAACACAUGCAAGUCGAACGGUAACGACGGGAGCUUGCUCCCGGGCGACGAGUGGCGGACGGGUGAGUAAUACUUAGGAAUCUGCCCAGUAGUGGGGGACAACUCGAGGAAACUCGAGCUAAUACCGCAUACGCCCUACGGGGGAAAGUGGAGGAUCUUCGGACUUCACGCUAUUGGAUGAGCCUAAGUCGGAUUAGCUUGUAGGUAGGGUAACGGCCUACCUAGGCAACGAUCCGUAGCUGGUCUGAGAGGACGAUCAGCCACACUGGAACUGAGACACGGUCCAGACUCCUACGGGAGGCAGCAGUGGGGAAUAUUGGACAAUGGGCGCAAGCCUGAUCCAGCAAUGCCGCGUGUGUGAAGAAGGCCUGCGGGUUGUAAAGCACUUUCAGUAGAGAAGAAAAGCCUACGGUUAAUACCCGUGAGUCUUGACGUAACCUACAGAAGAAGCACCGGCUAACUCCGUG
rnacentral:rRNA from 1 species